rnacentral:lncRNA from 1 species
GACACACCCCGUCCCAAAGGAGGGCAUGCUGGCCGUCACGUGAGAGUGACGUAACCAUUUGCACAGUACGGAAGCUUUAAUUAUACAAUUUAUAAGUUGAUACACCCGAAGGUGAGUCCUAAUUUUGUCUAAUCUGUCAGAACACCGUCGAAUUCCUCGUAGUCACCACACCUUUGUGAUUCCUGAACCUGGAGGGGCGCAAAACCAAAAUUGAGUGGGUGAGUAAAACAAUUCUUUUCCAAAUCCAAACAUUUCUCAAAACGUUGUAACCCCUCUCCGUAAAACCUGUAUACUUUCCCAGAAAUGUAAAAUAUAAAUAUACAUAUAUAUUCUCAACAUUUUUCUUUAUCAAUCAUGCCAUGCCAUGUCUAAUUCAACAGUUAAGUAUGGAUGCAUCAACAAUAAUCAUAUCAGGUGCAAGAAAGUAAUCAAUCGGAGGCCCUCUAAUAGUCCUGUACGGUUGAAUCUAGAGCUCGAAAUCUAUCACUAUCACUCUGCCGGAGUCACCUCUGUGACCUAUCCGGCCUUCUGCACACAAGUUACGCUCUAGUGCUUCUCUCAUCAAUCAUCUGUGCACAUAAUCUAAGGUCACCCACCAGUCGAAAUCUCACUAACACUCUUCGACUGGCCCGUCGCACCCACUCCGCGUGGACUGUGCGACCAGCAUCUACUUGGAUCCAAGGCGAGCGUGCGAUGCGGUGAAUACUAUAAGCACUAAACCAUGGUGCAGGAUUUGAGCUCAAUAUAUAUCAUCAUCAUCAUAACAGUAAUUAAAUACUCACCUGAUACUCACCUGUGCGUCCGCCGCACCAAUUCAUACAUAUGCAUCAUAUCUCAAUUCAUGCUUUUCAUAUCAUUUCAUGCAUGGCAAUUCGAUUUACAUUUCCAUAUAUAUUUCAUAUACUUCUAUGCAUGACCUUUCAAUUCACGUUUUCAUAUAAUUCUAUAUACCUUUCGUUUAAAACAUAAUUUCAUUCUAAUUCAAUUUCUGGGAAAACGUCAAGUAUAUAUAUAUACGGAAAACAAAACUGUCCACUCACAGAUUACAUCGACGUCUCGUAAGUCCCUGAGCAUCCCUUGGCCAUGCCUGAUGCCCGCAUAAACCUCACCUAUACAAAAGUAACCAUUUUGAUGUUAUUUAACGCCUAACCCAAAUCUUAGUUAAUAACUCCUCAUAUUUUGCUCAAAUUGGGUAUAUGAAUAUACCACCGUGACCUACACAACCUCAGGAUCAUCCCCAUAUUUUUAAAAUAAUUUUUCGAGGUCUCACGCGCCCCCACGUGCCUGACGUGGCACGGACCUACGCGCCCCCCACGCGCGGCCACGUGACAUGCACACUGACGGCUACAGUGAACGGCGUUAGGGAAUAUUCCGUCAAAUCCUAGUAUAUUCCGUUAAAAACUAACGGUUUCCGUUAAAACUGACUAACGGCGUCAGAAUAUUCCGUCAAACUUGACGGAAUAUUCCGUCACCUUCAACCUUCAGCUCCGGGGACCGUCGCCGGCGCCGGAAACUGGGUAAAUUUUCAAAACCACUAAUUUCACUCGUUUUUGGUCCAUUUUCUUCGAAUUUUACACCAAAAUGAAGCAUUUAACACCUACUAUCACGUUGGAAGGUUUUUAAGGUCCAAAAACAACAAGAUCAUACCUUUCCAAAUUUCAUCAAAUUCGGCCAAACUCGAACCCAACGAUCCCGACGUCCAUUUUGUUCAAACGAGGCACUCUGAGCCUCCUCGUGACCUCCUUAAGCUCACUGUGAGCUUUGUUUAACCUAAAACACGGCCAUAUUAAAGUUUGUGAACAGUGCUUAAUCACGGGGUGUUUUGAAACUAGGAUUUCAGAAAUGAAACUUACUCGAAAAUGGUAUCCCCGUGUUCGUGAAGUCAUCAGGAGUGUCGUGGUGAUCUUCACUUGGACGUUCGUGAAUGUUUUAGGUAAGUUUGUGUGUGAGCUUGUGAGUUCGAGAGUAAGAGAGAGAAUGAGAGAGUCUGAAAUGAAGAAAGAGAGAGAGAGUGUGUGACUGAGAAGGAUAAGAGCUGAGGAAGAGACAACCUACGGGUUUUGGGGAAGGAAUUCGGGAGGUAGGACCCUACCUAAAGUCCAAAUACAAAAUAACACAUACAAUUAUAAAUCUAACCCUAGUUUAGGAUCUUAAAGUAAAACAAACACCAAAAUUACGCACCUUAAUCCCGUUUAAGGGCGUUUUUGUAAUUUCACGUCCUCGGUAUUUAGUAAUUCUGGGACGGGCUGUGACAAUCUCCCCUCCUUAUAGAAUUUCGUCCCCGAAAUUCCAGUCAUCAACCAGAACAUCAAAACUCAUAGAAUAGCCUCGGAUACAUAUCCUGCAUCCGUUCUUCUGUCUCCCAUGUAGCUUCUUCCGCUGUAUGGUUUCUCCACAAUACUUUUACCAAGCUCACGGUCUUAUUCCUUAGAGUCUUAUCUUUCCAAUCCAGUAUAGUCACUGGUUCUUCAUCAUACGUCAAAUCCGGAUUAAUUUCCAAAAGUUGAGGAGGAAUCACAUGUGAAGGAUCUGAAACAUAAUGCCGAAGCAUCGAGACAUGAAACACAUUAUGUACCUUAGACAACUCUGGAGGCCAUUCAAUUCUAUAAUCAACUUCACCAACCUUUCGAUGAUCACGCUAAGUCCGAUUCAUUUAGGAUUUAACUUGCCUUCCUUUCCAACCCGAAUUAUACUUUUCUAUGGUGAACACUUCGAAAAUAUAAAACCAUUUACCUUAUAUACUCGAUUAGUGGCAUAUCUAUCUGUUGAUCUCUUUUGCCAUUCCUGGUUACUUCAGGUUAACUUAAUCACCUGAAUACUUUGAGGAGACUCAUCCAUAGUCUCAAGGUCUACUAAAACUCUUUCUUGAUUGAAUCUUUCUCUAUUCAGAAGCAUUUCAUUCACACGACACGCUUCAGGGACCCUAUGGCGUUAUUUCGGAAACUGCGCACCCAACAUACUUAAGAAACUCAGCAGUUCCGUAAUCCAAUUCUCUUUCCAUAAAACAAAUAAGUACCGUUGUCCUGACUGGGAAAAAGUUAUUACUCAACACUGGAGUAAAUAUACUAACUUGUUACGUUGCCCAACCAUCACUUCACAUCCGAUCGUAACCAUCUUGUAUACAAGGAAACUUGUACACAUAGUCCAAAGUAAUAUCUUUCCAUUUCCGUUUCGAAACAGAAAAUAGUUAUCUCAAUCCAAAGGUUUAUUUCUUUCUGCCUCAAUCUGCUGACCAAUAAAAAUGUCGAAUGGUAUGAUAAACCUUAUUACUUUCGGAAUAUUGCAGAAGUUAAACAAUGUACUUCGUCCAAAAUUGCUUACUUUAAACCCACAGCAUUAGGCACAUACUUUUCGUUUGCUUGUAUUCACAUACCAUCCGAUUCAAGAAUCAUGUACUCAUUCUUUUUCCUUUCUUUCUCUGCCUUGGUUAAUUCUUAAAUUUCUUCGUUAACCAUUUGAGUCUCGAGUACGACCUUACCAAAAGGCCUAACUUGAAACUUAGCAAGUAUAACUUCUUCUCGAUCUUUCAUUCUUAACUUUACUUUAGUUGGUUUCCAAUCCACAAGAAGAUAAUCUUGGCAAGCGUACCAAGCAUUAAUUCUUGCUGGAGUCUUCUCAUCAAGUGCUUCCGCUACAACAAUUCACGAUCACCCUGAUCGUACAAUCAUAAUCACUAAGUAAUUCAAUCCACCUUUGUUGCCUCAUAACAAAAUCCUUCCGAGUAAACAAAUAUUGGAGACUCUUUUGAUUUGUAAAAUCUUGCAUUCUUAUCAACAUAUAAUGUCUCCAUAACUUCACAGCAAGGAUGAUAAUCGUGACUUCCAAAUCACCAGUAGGGUAAUUCAUCUCAUGAGGUUCCAUUUGUCGUGAAACAUAUACAAUCACCCUAACAUUUGCAUCAACAUGCCUCCAAUACCAUUCAAGAAACAGCACUAAAAAUUUAUGAUUACCACUAUCUUCUAGGAUUACUAAAAUACGUGUAUGAGUGAGGAAAUACUUUAGUUGUUGAAUUCCUUACUCACAAUUUCCUUCCCACUCAUACAUAACUCUUUUUCUCAACAGUCUCGUCAAUGACAAAGCAAUGACUGAAAAAUCUUUCACAACCAUCCAAGAUAGCCUGGUAAGUUAAGAAAUUCCAAAUCUCAAUUACGACUCGUGGUUGUUCCAAAUUCUCAAUUCUGCUGCCUUUUAAGAAUUCAUUUGAAUACCUUAAGUAGAUAUAACCAAUCUCAGAAUGCCACUUGAUUCAUCUAACUUUAGCAUUUGCUACUUAGCAUACAACCGACGUUCCCUCAAACUUUGUAACAUCAACUUAAAAUAUCUAACAUGCUCUGCUCUAGGCUUAGAGUAUACCAGAAUAUCUUCAAUGAAAAUGAUAUCUAUUUAUCAAGGCAUUAUUGGAAUACUUCAUCCAAUAACUCAUAAAACAGCAUGAGUAUCCAUAUAGCAUCACCAAACUUCAUAAGGACCAUAACAAGUCCAGAAAACCAUCUUAUGAUCAACGUCACUUAUAAUAUUCAAUUGGUAUUAACCAGAUCUCAAGUCAAUCUUUGAAAAUAUACAAGCACCUUUGAACUGAUCAAAUGAGCGUCAAUACACCACAAGGGAUAACGGUUCUCAAUCGUUACCCGACUCCAUUGUCUAUAAUCAAUGGAUAGCCUUAAAAAUCCAUUUUCUUCCUCACCAACGAACUGGGCUCCUCAAAAGUGUUGUACUAGGUUGAAUAAAACUUUUAUCAACCAAUUCUUUCAACUGAAUUUCCAAUUCCCUUAACUCAUCAUGAACCAAUCUUUAACAUAAAUUUAUACCUGGCAACAAUUCAAUAAUGAACCUCAUAUCUCUGCCUGAAGACAAUCCAGAUAUACUUUCAGGGAAGACAUCAAGAAAAGUCUAACCCUUUCGACAUUAUUCACACUACUCCAAACAAUAUCAUUUAGCACCACAUGAGCUAAGUAUUUUUGGGCAGCCUUUCAAAACAAUCUCUUUGCUUUCACAGCAUAAAUAAUGGCUGAACUCACUUCACUUUGCAUGCCCACUCAUUAAGGUAACCUCUGAUCAUCCAGAUCGAUGGAAAAUGACUGGUUUCCCGUAACAAUCCAUCUAGUCACAAUUAUAACCAACUAAUCUAAUGGAAAUAAUUUAACCGACACAAUUCAUACUCUAUUACUACUAAGCAUUCUGAAUAAGUACAAUACUAACAUAAAAUAAUCUACCGGGUUGCUUGCUUAACGAAUCCACGAAUGAGUUAUUAAUAUUACGGUCUGCAGCCCGCAAUACUGAUAAAUCAUCGUUGUCUCGAUAAGUAGGCAACCACUCUCAAAGAUAUAACAUUACUAUUUUGUCACUCAAUGCAAAAUACAUACACUCGUCUCAACUACAUUUAUUUACUACUCUCUAGGUAAUAACAUACAUAAUAAGAAAUAUAUCAGCCGAAGUCAACUAGAAUGACCAAUACGGCUGAUUCAACUCUUAUCUCAAUAAUACGUCGGCCGGAUCCACUCUGCGUGGUCGGUACGGUCGAGUAUAUAACUCACCAAUUUCUCAUGUGUCAGUCGAAUCCACUUCUCAUGGUCUAUACGGCUGAACAUAUAACUCACCAAAUCUCUCUGUACUCACGGUCAAUCCGACCAAACUACUAAGUUCAUAAACUUGCUGAAUCGACACUAUGAUGCCAUGGAAACUGUUGGGUACAACUGAUUCUAGGGACGAUUCACAAUUCUGUGUCCCCUCUGUUCACAUAAACACAUUUAUUAAUUUCACACUUCCCAAAGUGUUAAUUUUGUACCUGCUGCACAAAGUACAUUUCCUUUACUCGAGACACCUUGUCUCAAAUAUCUGGGAUUACCAGUAUAUCCAUCACUUUUACUCUGACCAGCUACAUUAAAACCUCAGCUGGAAGAAUUAACUCUAGCUUCACUUCUUUCGAAGCUCUGAAUCUUUCUAUAUCCUUGAUAUGACGAAUCAUUAACUUUAUCGUCUUCUUUUAAUUCCCAUUCAUUUCUUAUUCCUCUUUACUCUCGUUGAUCAUGUUCUCAGAGUCCUCAAGGCUCAACAACAUCUCGUAUACUCCUGGUAAUAAAUACAAUGGAUAGUGGUCACUCAAAGAACGCCGCUUUUUCUUACUAUCCAGCAUAAACAACAUAACACCUCAACCAAAUUAACAGUAAUAUCUGGAUGGAACGAGGCAAGUCUGAAAACUUUCUAUAAUAUCCCUCGAUCAUCACCUUCAUUGUCUCAUAUUUGUAAACUCUUGUUUACUACCAUCGAUAAAUGCCGGAGGGAUAAACUUUUCCUUAAACAAGUCCUUAAACAAUUUUAAAUCGGCUGAUUCCUCUGGUGACAACAACUAACAAUCCUGUUUCCACCAGGAUACAAAUUCAUACCCAAAACCAGGUAGUCGUCUCGACCCCUUGUCAGAAGGAAGAUUCCUUUGACUUGCAUAAUCUGAAACAUCUUUUCCAAAUGGUUAAACCGUUACUUCGUUCCCUCAGGUUCAUCAUUUCAUAAGGUGAUUCAAAUUCGACUUAUAACCCGUCUUAAAAUGUCCAUUUUGAUAAUAUACUGAAUCACCAUAAUAAUAGUUUCCCCCAAACCGCUAAAUCAGGGAGACUAAAUUCCUCUAACUACGUGGUUUGCUACGAGGCGGUGUAGUUCUGACAGAAUUCACUAGAAACUUCUCAAGAUGUCCAAGAUUGCAACCAUGCUCUGAUACCAACUGACACACCCCGUCCCGAAGGAGGGCAUGCUGGCCGUCACGUGAGAGUGACGUAACCAUUUGCACAGUACGGAAGCUUUAAUUAUACAAUUUAUAAGUUGAUACACCCGAAGGUGAGUCCUAAUUUUGUCUAAUCUGUCAGAACACCGUCGAAUUCCUCGUAGUCACCACACCUUUGUGAUUCCUGAACCUGGAGGGGCGCAAAACCAAAAUUGAGUGGGUGAGUAAAACAAUUCUUUUCCAAAUCCAAACAUUUCUCAAAACGUUGUAACCCCUCUCCGUAAAACCUGUAUACUUUCCCAGAAAUGUAAAAUAUAAAUAUACAUAUAUAUUCUCAACAUUUUUCUUUAUCAAUCAUGCCAUGCCAUGUCUAAUUCAACAGUUAAGUAUGGAUGCAUCAACAAUAAUCAUAUCAGGUGCAAGAAAGUAAUCAACCGGAGGCCCUAUAAUAGUCCUGUACGGUUGAAUCUAGAGCUCAAAAUCUAUCACUAUCACUCUGCCGGAGUCACCUCUGUGACCUAUCCGGCCUUCUGCACACAAGUUACGCUCUAGUGCUUCUCUCAUCAAUCAUCUGUGCACAUAAUCUAAGGUCACCCACCAAUCGAAAUCUCACUAACACUCUUCGACUGGCCCGUCGCACCCACUCCGCGUGGACUGUGCGACCAGCAUCUACUUGGAUCCAAGGCGAGCGUGCGAUGCGGUG